rnacentral:pre_miRNA from 1 species
AUGUAGGGCAAUCUGUACUUAAGUAGGGAAAAAUUACUUCAAAAAAAUAAUGCUAGGUAGUUUUCCCUUCAUUCAAGCAUUUCUUGU